CUUUUACUUUAACAUGGAGGUGCUUUCUGUGAUUUUACAAAAGUAAGUGCUUCCAUGUUUUAGUAGAGG
rnacentral:pre_miRNA from 7 species